CGGGGCGUAGCUCAGCUUGGAUAGAGUGCUUGACUGGGGGUCAAGAGGUCGCUGGUUCGAAUCCAGUCGCCCCGA
rnacentral:tRNA from 1 species